rnacentral:lncRNA from 1 species
UCUUUUUUUAAUAGUAAUGAAAUCCGUUUCCUUGCAUUCUAAAAUAUGUUUGUAUUUAUUAACUAAUUCAGAUAAAUAUUCCAAUUCGCGUUUAGAAAAAUCAGGUUGGCGAUGUCAUUUCUUCUCUUCCGUUGCCAUCUUGGAUUACACACGUGUUGUUAUGACAAGACAAAUCAUGUGCCUUAAUUUGACGAAUGGGCAAUUACCAAGGAAACAUGGAUAAUAAUCACAGUGUCAGUUGGUUGCUGUUACUAAACAUCACUGACAAAAGUCAUGAUGGAACGAUCUACUGUUACUGAUCAUUGCUAAGCAGACAACGUUGUUUACUGACAGCAGUGUUAUACAAUGUUGGUGGAACCGGGCCAUAAAAUACUCCCAAUUAUUCUGUGUUUGAUUAUCUGGGUUAUGAUUUAAUCAGGAUUUAUCCUCAACCCAGAGGUCACAUUUAAUUAUUGAUGUUUUAUCUU